rnacentral:rRNA from 1 species
AUUGAACGCUGGCGGCAGGCUUAACACAUGCAAGUCGAGCGAGCGGCGGACGGGUGAGUAAUGUCUGGGAAACUGCCUGAUGGAGGGGGAUAACUACUGGAACCGGUAGCUAAUACCGCAUACCAUCAGAUGUGGCCAGAUGGGAUUAGCUAGUAGGUGGGGUGAUGGCGCACGGAGGCGACGAUCCCUAGCUGGUCUGAGAGGAUGACCAGCCGCACUGGAACUGAGGGACGGGCAAGACUCCUAGGGGAGGCAGGAGUGGAGAAGAGUGCACAAUGGGCGCAAGCCUGAUGGAGCGAUGCAGCGUGUGUGAAGAAGGGCUUCGGGUUGUAAAGCAGUUUCAGCGAGGAGGCGUUACGCGCAGAAGAAGCGCCGGCUAACUCCGUGCCAGCAGCCGCGGUAAUUC